rnacentral:rRNA from 1 species
AUUGAACGCUGGCGGCAUGCUUUACACAUGCAAGUCGAACGGCAGCGCGGGGCAACCUGGCGGCGAGUGGCGAACGGGUGAGUAAUACAUCGGAACGUACCCAGAAGUGGGGGAUAACGUAGCGAAAGUUACGCUAACACCGCAUACGUUCUACGGAAGAAAGUGGGGGACCUUCGGGCCUCAUGCUUUUGGAGCGGCCGAUGUCUGAUUAGCUAGUUGGUAGGGUAAAGGCCUACCAAGGCGACGAACAGUAGCUGGUCUGAGAGGACGACCAGCCACACUGGGACUGAGACACGGCCCAGACUCCUACGGGAGGCAGCAGUGGGGAAUUUUGGACAAUGGGCGCAAGCCUGAUCCAGCAAUGCCGCGUGAGUGAAGAAGGCCUUCGGGUUGUAAAGCUCUUUUGUCAGGGAAGAAACGGCCGAGGCUAAUACCUUCGGCUAAUGACGGUACCUGAAGAAUAAGCACCGGCUAACUACGUGCCAGCCGCCGCCGUAAAAC